rnacentral:misc_RNA from 1 species
GACGGAGAAGAGUGUUGAGAGUCCUGGGGUGACAACACCUGGGUCCCCUGCUCACCUGAGCCACAGACUCGCCAGGCAGCUGCUCCCAACCCCAGAACCUUUGCUGUCUUGGGACGGAUCACCACUGCAAGAGGGGAAGUUGCUACUGUGAUGAAUUCUGCCAUGUGGCACCAGACUGCCACCCAGACCACAGUGUCCUCUGCAACCCUGGUAACUCACAUACAGGCCCGAUUCCACCGACAGCAAAGCUGGAUGCUAUGGCUGGCAGAGGCAAACCCUUUGCCUGCACUUCAGGCCAAAGCCGGGAUGUGGCCUAGAUGGUUCCUAAGGUCCCUGACAAUCCUGAGAUCUUGCAUCUUGUCUAUUUCAGGUCAAAGGUGCCUACAUGCUCCUUCUAGCUUUGUUUCCCUGAUGUUCCUUGCCACCUGCUACUCCUCUCUGAGCUACUUUUCCAGGUUCCACAGGGAGAGGUUCAGCUGUCCGUGGUAGACAUGAGGGUAGAGAGUGAGGUGGUUGGGUUCCACUUACCUUUCUAUCAUCUUGCAGUAUGGAUGUCUCUUGACUGGUACCGUGUAGACUUUUGAGGGCACACAGGAGUCUGCAGAGAGAUACUGGGGACAUUGAGCAGCAGCAGUGGGGUUGGGAGGCAGAAAUGAGGACAGGAACAUUUACCUUGUGUUUCUCUCAGCUUCUCAGAUGACCAAGAUGGUGCUGCAGAUGGUGCUGAGGAUGGAGAACCCACCAAG